UACAGGGGGGCAAGCGUUGUUCGGAAUUACUGGGCGUAAAGGGUUCGUAGGUGGCCAACUAAGUCAGACGUGAAAUCCCUCAGCUUAACUGGGGAACUGCGUCUGAUACUGGAUGGCUUGAGUGCAGGAGAGGAAUGCGGAAUUCCAGGUGUAGCGGUGAAAUGCGUAGAUAUCUGGAGGAACACCGGUGGCGAAGGCGGCAUUCUGGACUGUAACUGACACUGAGGAACGAAAGCCAGGGAGCAAACGGG
rnacentral:rRNA from 1 species